GACGAACGCUGGCGGCGUGCUUAACACAUGCAAGUCGAACGGAAAGGCCCUGCUUUUGUGGGGUGCUCGAGUGGCGAACGGGUGAGUAACACGUGAGUAACCUGCCCUUGACUUUGGGAUAACUUCAGGAAACUGGGGCUAAUACCGGAUAGGAGCUCCUGCUGCAUGGUGGGGGUUGGAAAGUUUCGGCGGUUGGGGAUGGACUCGCGGCUUAUCAGCUUGUUGGUGGGGUAGUGGCUUACCAAGGCUUUGACGGGUAGCCGGCCUGAGAGGGUGACCGGCCACAUUGGGGCUGAGAUACGGCCCAGACUCCUACGGGAGGCAGCAGUGGGGAAUAUUGCACAAUGGGCGGAGGCCUGAUGCAGCAACGCCGCGUGCGGGAUGACGGCCUUCGGGUUGUAAACCGCUUUCGCCUGUGACGAAGCGUGAGUGACGGUAAUGGGUAAAGAAGCACCGGCUAACUACGUG
rnacentral:rRNA from 1 species